rnacentral:tRNA from 1 species
GCCGGUGUAGCUCAAUUGGCAGAGCACUCGACUUGUAAUCGAGAGGUUGUGGAUUCGAGUUCCACCUCCGGCUCCA